rnacentral:rRNA from 1 species
CCCUUAGAUGUUCUGGGCCGCACGCGCGCUACACUGAACAGUUCAACAAGUCUUAACCUUGGCCGAUAGGUCUGGGUAAUCUUUGAACGCUGUUCGUGAUUGGGAUAGACCUUUGCAAUUAUGGGUCUUCAACGAGGAAUUCCUAGUAAACGCAAGUCAUCGGCUUGCAUUGAUUACGUCCCUGCCCUUUGUACACACCGCCCGUCGCACCUACCGAUUGAAUGGUCCGGUGAAAUCUCGGGACGGCGGCUUGGUCGCUUGCGUCCGACUGCUGAAACUUGAUUAAACCAUAUCAUUUAGAGGAAGGUGAAGUCGUAACA